GACGGAGGAUGCAAGUGUUAUCCGGAAUCACUGGGCGUAAAGCGUCUGUAGGUGGUUUCAAAAGUCCACUGUUAAAGAUUGAAGCUUAACUUCAAAAAUGACCGUGGAAACUUUGAAACUUGAAGUAUGAUAGGGGUAGAGGGAAUUUCCAGUGGAGCGGUGAAAUGCGUAGAUAUUGGAAAGACCACCAAUGGCGAAGGCAACUCUACUGGGCCAUUACUGACACUGAGAGACGAAAGCUAGGGGAGCGAAUGGG
rnacentral:rRNA from 1 species